AUAUUUUUUAGCUUUAAGUUUAAUAAAAUUUAAUGGUUUUGUCUCAAUAUACCUCAAAAGUAUGCAGCUUUGAGAGUUCAAAAUUUCAAAAUUUAAUUUCGCGCUAUUUAUAAAAUUGAUAUUUGACAGUAUUUUGUGACGGAUGGCAUGCUAAUUUAAUAUAUUUUGAUGGGCACUUUCUCAUAUACAUAAAUGAGUCGCCAUGUCUCUAUACUCUGUAUUAUGAUUGGAUCGCCAUUACGAUAUAAUCAUAUAGAGUUAUAAGGCAAUGUUUUCUCUAUCUCUUACAAUAGUACAAUUCCACUUACAAACAGCUCUAGCUUCAAUAUUAACUCUAUGGUCAGAGCACAAAUAUUAACUCUAUGGUCAGAGCACAUCACAUUUUUGUGAACCAUGUAAGUAAAGAUACCCUGUAAAGUAGAUAUUUAAAGCGGGUUCAAGAAUAGUAAUAGGGAAAAUAUGUGUAUACUCGUGAUGUAACGUUUGAUAUUAAUUUUUUUUCAAUUAAAAUUGUCGGGGGAUUCGAACCGUCGAUGUUCAUGUUCGUAAAUAUAGCAGUUAGCCGACCUUAUCGAUUCCACAGUUAGGACUCGACGAGAGUCUUGUCUAGAAUUGUGUAUUUAGGCGGCGGAGUGGGUUCUGCACUGCUGGUUGGAUUUUUAUCAAACAAACGGUAUUGUAUACAGUAUGUACGAUGCCAUAAGGAAACUACUACAUUGUAUCUCCGCUGCUAAUUGUCGGAUUUUCAUCUAACAAAGGACAUUGUUUAUACAUAUGUAAUACGAGCGUUAGGAACUUCGCCGGCGACACAGGAAAUUUUUUUGAGCAUGCGCACGACUAUUUUUUUUAUAAUAAAUAAUUGUAAGAAGAGAAAGAAAGUGUUUGUAUUACAAUGUCAUCAGAAGAAUAUAGACACAAAUUGGAGAAAUUUGAUAGACGUGUUCUUCGACAAUUGAGCAAAGAUAUUACAUUCUAUUGAAAUGAGAUUGGAGUGAUAAAAGGAUUGGAGCGAAUGCGUUUUGAAAAAUCGACAAUUGCCGCAUGCACAAUAUCCACUAAACAGAAUUAAACCAACUACAAUAAUACAAUAACAACGAUGGAGCGGGAUAAGGAGGAGAUGACCAUCAAGAAUGACAUUAAUAAUGUGUUUGCAAUGACAUAUGUAAUUUUAACAUCAGUAUUUAUUUUAAUAUUGAAAAUUAUAUUUAAUAUUGUAAAACGAAAGUUUAAGUCUUCUUGUAAUAUAGACUUGAAUGAG